rnacentral:rRNA from 1 species
AUUGAACGCUGGCGGCAGGCCUAACACAUGCAAGUCGAACGGUAACAGGAAACAGCUUGCUGUUUCGCUGACGAGUGGCGGACGGGUGAGUAAUGUCUGGGAAACUGCCUGAUGGAGGGGGAUAACUACUGGAAACGGUAGCUAAUACCGCAUAACGUCGCAAGACCAAAGAGGGGGACCUUCGGGCCUCUUGCCAUCGGAUGUGCCCAGAUGGGAUUAGCUUGUUGGUGGGGUAACGGCUGACCAAGGGGACGACCCCUAGCUGGUCUGAGGGGAUGGCCAGCCACACUGGAACUGAGACACGGUCCAGACUCCUACGGGAGGCAGCAGUGGGGAAUAUUGCACAAUGGGCGCAAGCCUGAUGCAGCCAUGCCGCGUGUAUGAAGAAGGCCUUCGGGUUGUAAAGUACUUUCAGCGGGGAGGAAGGGAGUAAAGUUAAUACCUUUACUCAUUGACGUUACCCGCAGAAGAAGCACCGGCUAACUCCGUGCCAGCCGCCGCAGUAA